AACGGACAGACAGAGAGCUUGCUCUCUUGAAGUUAGUGGCGAACGGGUGAGUAACGCGUAAUCAACCUGCCCUUCAGAGGGGGAUAACAACGGGAAACCGUUGCUAAUACCGCGUACGAUUCAUAGGCGGCAUCGCUUGUGAAUGAAAGGUGGCCUCUAUAUAUAAGCUAUCGCUGAAGGAGGGGAUUGCGUCUGAUUAGCUAGUUGGAGGGGUAACGGCCCACCAAGGCAAUGAUCAGUAGCCGGUCUGAGAGGAUGAACGGCCACAUUGGGACUGAGACACGGCCCAAACUCCUACGGGAGGCAGCAGUGGGGAAUCUUCCGCAAUGGACGAAAGUCUGACGGAGCAACGCCGCGUGAGUGAUGAAGGUCUUCGGAUUGUAAAGCUCUGUUAAUCGGGACGAAAGAGUUCUGUGUGAAUAAUGCAGAAAAGUGACGGUACCGGAAUAGAAAGCCACGGCUAACUACGUGCCAGCAGCCGCGGUAAUACGUAGGUGGCAAGCGUUGUCCGGAAUUAUUGGGCGUAAAGCGCGCGCAGGCGGCCUAUCCAGUCUGUCUUAAAAGUUCGGGGCUCAACCCCGUGAUGGGAUGGAAACUAGUAGGCUAGAGUAUCGGAGAGGAAAGCGGAAUUCCUAGUGUAGCGGUGAAAUGCGUAGAUAUUAGGAAGAACACCAGUGGCGAAGGCGGCUUUCUGGACGAAAACUGACGCUGAGGCGCGAAAGCCAGGGGAGCGAACGGGAUUAGAUACCCCGGUAGUCCUGGCCGUAAACGAUGGGUACUAGGUGUAGGAGGUAUCGACCCCUUCUGU
rnacentral:rRNA from 1 species